rnacentral:rRNA from 1 species
AGGAUGAACGCUGGCGGCGUGCUUAACACAUGCAAGUCGAACGAUGAAGGCUGGAGCUUGCUCUGGCUGGAUUAGUGGCGAACGGGUGAGUAACACGUGAGUAACCUGCCCCAGACUCUGGGAUAAGCGCUGGAAACGGCGUCUAAUACCGGAUACGAGCUUCCACCGCAUGGGUGAGGAGCUAGGAAAGAAUUUCGGUCUGGGAUGGACUCGCGGCCUAUCAGCUUGUUGGUGAGGUAAUGGCUCACCAAGGCGACGACGGGUAGCCGGCUGAGAGGGUGACCGGCCACGACUGGGACUGAGACACGGCCCAGACUCCAGGGAGCAGCAGUGGGAAUAUGCAC